rnacentral:rRNA from 1 species
UACGAAGGGGGCUAGCGUUGCUCGGAAUUACUGGGCGUAAAGGGCGCGUAGGCGGACAGUUUAGUCAGAGGUGAAAGCCCAGGGCUCAACCUUGGAAUUGCCUUUGAUACUGGCUGUCUUGAGUACGGGAGAGGUGUGUGGAACUCCGAGUGUAGAGGUGAAAUUCGUAGAUAUUCGGAAGAACACCAGUGGCGAAGGCGACACACUGGCCCGUUACUGACGCUGAGGCGCGAAAGCGUGGGUAGCAAACAGG